rnacentral:rRNA from 1 species
AUACGUAGGGAGCGAGCGUUGUCCGGAAUUACUGGGUGUAAAGGGUGCGUAGGCGGGACUGCAAGUCAGAUGUGAAAUGCCGGGGCUCAACCCCGGAGCUGCAUUUGAAACUGUGGUUCUUGAGUGAGGUAGAGGUAAGCGGAAUUCCUAGUGUAGCGGUGAAAUGCGUAGAUAUUAGGAGGAACAUCGGUGGCGAAGGCGGCUUACUGGGCCUCUACUGACGCUGAGGCACGAAAGCGAGGGGAGCAAACAGGAUUAGAUACCCUGGUAGUCCACGCUGUAAACGAUGAUGACUAGGUGUGGGGGGACUGAACCCUUCCGUGCCGCAGUUAACACAAUAAGUCAUCCACCUGGGGAGUACGGCCGCAAGGUUGAAACUCAAAUGAAUUGACGGGG